UGUGGGAGCGGGCUUGCUCGCGAUUCAGUCGACGCGGUGUAUCUGAACAACCCCGCCGAUGCUAUCGCGAGCAAGCCCGCUCCCACA
rnacentral:misc_RNA from 1 species